GAGUGAAGUACAUGCAUAAGGAAGUAUUGUUGUAUGCGCAUGCUGAUUUUGCCAAUCCAUCUAAAGUCCUGGUUAAGUAUCGUUCUUUUGUUCAGCACUUAUAUCUGCUCCUCCACAUCGCACAGAGAUUGGGAUUCACCCCUGCAGUGAAACCACUUCUACAGCGAUUUACCAAUAAAUACUGUGAUUAUUUCCAUCAACCUACCAGUGAAAAAAGGGGAAAAAAAAAAUCAAAGUCUUACCAAGGAACUCCACUGGCAUACUAUUGCAAAAAUGAAUUUUGUUAAAGAGGAGAGUGAAGACAUGAGUGAUCCAGAGACACACCAAAUAAAAAAUGAAGAAAAUAAGGAACAAAGAGACUUAAAAGAAGAAAAUCAAGAACUGAAUGACGUGGAGGAAAAUCAGUAUCAAAAAUGUGAUAAUUUAAUGACUAGAGAAGAAUAUUAUAGUGGCUCAAAGACUGAAAAAUAUUUCUCACAGAAAAGAACUCAAAGAAUAACAGCAAAAAAUUCUUUCACUUGCUCUCACUGUGGAAAGUGUUUUGCACGAAAAGGAAACUUUAAUGCUCACUUAAAACUUCACUCUGGAGGGAAGCCUUUCACAUGCCUUCAAUGUGGAAACAGCUUCAUAUAUAAAAGAAACCUUACGACUCACAUGAAAAUCCACUCUGGAGAGAAGCCCUUCACCUGCCAUCAGUGUGGAAAGAGUUUUACAUAUAAAGGAGAUUUUAAGCGACAUGCGAGAAUUCACACUGGAGAGAAACCUUUCACCUGCCAUCAAUGUGGAAAGAGUUUCACAGAAGGAAGAAAUCUCACACUUCAUCUACGCUAUCAUUCUGGAUUAAAGCCAUUUAAUUGUGAUCAGUGCAACAAGGCAUAUACGCGUGCAUCACAGCUAAAGCUACACAUGACAAGUCAUGCAAAUGAAAAGCCGUACGUGUGUUCUUUUUGUGGAAAGAGUUUCAUUACAUCAACAAACCUGAAAACACAUGAGAGAGUGCAUACUGGAGAGAAACCAUACCACUGCACUUCAUGUGGGAAGAGUUUCAACCACUCAAGUAAUCUACGGACUCAUCUAAAAAAGCAUUGUCCAAAUGUGUCAAAGUGAGCUAAGUUAAUUUCGGGGGCAACAAUUUUGUUGUUUGUAGCUGUCAAAAUUAAUGUGUUAACGCAUGCGAUUAAUUUAAAUUGUUUAACACGUUAAUUUUUCUUAAUCACAAUGCAUUUACCAAUUUUCACGUUAGAUACUGACAUUUUAUUCAGCUCUGAGUUUUAAACACUGGUUGGAGUAGAACAAAACCUUUGCGAUUGUGUCCGGUGCAGACAAUACACUGAUGUACACACCACAAACAAACGCACAACAGCCAUUCUGUGUCAAUGAUUAAGUGAUGGAGAUGGGACCUCUUGCAAAACAAACACAGAUGGGACUUAUAAUACUAGUAAAAUAAAGUACUUAACGUCCUUUGUUAGUCAGAAUUUUACCACAGAAGAACGUUAAGUCUUAUAAGCCAAACACAUAAUAUGGCACUGAUGAUGGACUGCUGUGGCCAAUUCUCCCAUUAAGGAUCUGUCGAUGCUCUGAUCAAAGUUCAUAUAAUUUUAACUUUGUACCCAUUGCCACUAAGCUUUUGAAGCGUCAGCUAUUGAUUACUGGGCAACUUGGAUAAAGUCUCAUUAUGUAGGCAGUGCAAUAGCUAAACGCAAAACAAGACAUCGGCCGUGUUCCGAAUAUCUUACUACCAUACUAUUGUUAUUUCUGCUAUCCACAGUUUUCUUGAGCAACCACUGGGUAGCGCCAUGAUGAUUCUAACUGCCUGUUUUGUGUUUCUGGUCUCGAGACACAAUGUAAAUACUAGCGAUUCAGACGGAGAACAACCAUUUAAGUGUUAUUUGGAGUACAAAUUAAUUUUACCCUCAACUUGUGCAGUUGUUGGCUGUCAUAACUCAAUGUUAUGUGAUAUAGUUAAUGAUAUCAACUUAACUCACCUCGGACCAUCGCUUCAUGACAUCUACAUACUCGGGUGAGGCACAGUCUAUAAAAAAAAAGCUAAUCUCGACUCUCGAAGUAUCGGUGCAAUAGAUUCACGUUUUUUUGACAACUUCUACAAAUAUAAUACUUUACCUGCUAAGAAUAAACACUGAUGCGGUUGAAAACACUGGAGACCGGAAAUUGAAAACAGGCAAACCGUGGAACACUUCCAUGUUCAGGAAAAAGGUGGAUACAUAGAUAUGACAGAAGCAGUAAGAUUAAUAUGGGUAGGAUGCCAUUGCGAACACAGCCACUGUCUGCAGUGCUUUUUUAUGUGGAGUUCAAAGCAGUGCUUGAUGCCCUGACGCGAAUCAUGUGCAUUCCAUAUCCAAAGUGGACUGCCACAGCUAGCCUGCUGAUUAAUAUUGUUGAGGAUAAGGGUUUAAGAGAAUUAAUGUGAAUUGCAAUGAAUACGCAACCUAUGAAGACUAGUUCUUUCAAUUAGACAAACUCCCACUUAGACUUUGGGAAAUGUUUAAUGUUACUUGAAUUGGUGCUAUUUUAGUGCAUUUCUUUCUUUAUACUGUUUGAUUUGAAAAUGUUAAUACAGCAUUAUUGUUACAUUUUGUUUUGUUUUCUUUCCUAAGAUGGAAAGAAUGCAUUUAGACAGUAAAAGCAUACAUAGUUAAAUUUGAGCACUUUCGAUAUCUGUGAUUAAUCGUGAUUUUUAACUAUGAAAAAUUAUGCAAUUAAUCGUGUUAAAAAAAUUAUCGACUGACAACACUAGUUGUAAGGACCCCCUGCAAAAAAUAAGAAACAUUUCCACUGCUUUCACCUCAUCCCGUCUUAUCUUAGUGCCAGCCAGGGAUCUCUGUGUGGAUGAGUCUCUGAUGAAGUGGAAGGGUAGGCUGACAUUUCGCCAGUUUAUACCAGCUAAACGGCACAGAUUUGUGGUCGUUUUUUUGUGUUGUGUGAUUUUCUCACCGGUUACGUACAGGACAUGAUCAUAUACACAUGACCCCCCACCAACAUCCAGCACUUCGAGGGCCUUGAGAUCUCUGGAUCAGUUGUAAUGUCUACUGGUGCCAUACCUGAGAAAGGGUCACAUUGUGUACAUGGACAUCUGGUACUGUAGUCCCACACUGUUCCAGCACCUCUUGUCUCUGGACACAGGAACUUGUGGGACUGUAUGAGCUAACAGGAGGGGGAUGCCAACAUUCACCUGCAAGAUGACAAAGGGCCAGGUUGAUUUAAAAAAAAUUGAACUCAAUUGGCAGGACAAGAGGGAUGUUCACAUCCUUACCCCACAGUAUAUCCAUCCAUGAUGUCAGCCACAGGGAAGGUUGAUCACAUCACUGGUGAAAGAACGAUGAAGCCUCUCUGUGUGCUAGAAUACAACAAAAAGAUGGAGGCAGUGGACAAGGCUGAUGAUAGGCUUUCUUGAGUGUGCCAGAAAGACCACUGAGUGGUAUGCGAAAGUCUUCUUUCACCUUCUUGACACUGCUGUACUGAACAGCCACAUUGUCCACCAUCAACUUUAAGGGAACACAAACAAAGAUAUUUUGAUGGAGUUAUGAUGUGAAUAUAUCCAUACAAACUCUGAAGCUCCAAAAUGUACAUAAAGGCAGCAUAAAAGAAAUGCACAUGACUCCAGUGGAUUAAUCCAUUCAGUCUUCUGAAGCGAACCAGUCAGUUUUGGGAGAGAACAGACCAAAAUGUAACUCCUUUUUCACUGUACAUCUGGCCAUUGCAGUCUUUAGGCCUGAUCAUGAUUUCAAGCUCGCUUACGCUUCCUAGCGAUAGAUGCAUGCACAGAGCUAGGAAGUGUAAUGCAGCUUGAAAUCAUUAUCGCCAAGGAGACGCUGAUGUCAGGGUUUAUAGUCAGAAAGGACUUGUGUGUUGCCCCCUGUUUUGAAAAGUACCACACUGAAGAAUUACUGACUUUACUGUGAAAUAAAAUAAGUAAAUGUUUAGUUAGUAAUCGUUAUUGUUAUGAUAUUUGUAUUAGUUAAUGUUAUACUUGAUUUGUUAUUCAUUGUAAAAAAAAGUUUUUUUUCAUCAUUUGUAAGUGGUUUAUUAACUUUGAAAUGUGUGCAUUGUAGGCCUUGCCCACCGCUAGUGCGAUGUAAUUGAAUUUUAUGACUGUUACUUAAUAGUUGUUAUGGUUAAUGUUAUUUGUAUUUAUUAUUUGUACUGUUAUUCAAUGUAAUUGUGAUAAUUCUGAAUGGUUUAAGUGUUAUUUUUAGUUGAUUGAUUGUCUAUAAAUAAAUGUAUAAACACAUAAAUAGCAUAUAUGUAAUACAUUUUUUAUUUUUUAAAUAAA